CGGAACAUAUGCCCCUGCUUAUAUACAAGCAGGAAAUUGCUCUCUUUCUUCUACUCUCUUCUCUGGAGCCACCAUGUGAGCGUGCUGCUGGCAUCCUGGAUCAGAUAAGUCUUUAUAAAAUAUAUAGAAUAAUAAUUAUGGUUGAUACUUAAGUCAGAGAUAGCAGAUAAGAAAUCCCAGUCAUUGGCCAGCAGCAUUGUACCUAAUUCACCCAGUUGAUAAGACAACAUGACAGCAGCCCAAAGAAGAUGAACCCAUACAUCUUUGAUCUUUUGAUAUGACGUCUACAGAAGUCAAAGGAUGCGCUGGUCUUUGAAAGUCGCAGACUGUCCAAUGUGUAAAAGACCAUGUUCCUUGGAGUCUAAGAAGGCUGGAUCAAACUGAAGGGAAGACUGGGGACCAAAAGAAGAUAAAACAUGGUCUCAGAACUUGAUCAUGUAGCAUACACAAGCUGCUACCACAAUUCAGAGGUUCAUUUGACAACCAGUUGUUAGAAGUCUUUUCUUCUCACAGAGUUGUUAUGUAGCAAUUAGAUGGCUUCCUGGUACCUAAUAAUUAGUCAACAGAUGUUUGGAUGCUGGAAGUUCAGGUUAAAUGUGAAGCAACAUGCUGAGAUCCCCACCUUGCAGACUCUCCCAGAGACUGCUCCCUGGUGUCUCCUCCAUGCGCCCACAUCUUCUCCAUGAGUCGUACUACUUGGGAUGGAAUGCAAUCCUUAGUCACUUGUACUUUUGAAGGCAGGGUUUAAGUGACUCCGACAGACCGAAGAUAAAUGAUUAACAGGUAUUUAUUAGGGAAGCACUUACACAAUUAAUAGUAAAUAACCACCGUGGUCUUCCUGCUCCUGAAGGUGCAGUCUCUGCCCUUCUGGAGUUCCUACUACCACCCAAGAGAGUGAGUCAGCCCUUCCUCUUCCAUAUAAGGGGUCAUGUCUGCACACCUGAAGCCAGGCCCCUAGGAUGUGGCCACUACCACAAGUCCCACUGGAGAAGGAAGAUGCCACUAUAUACUUUUCCGAAAAAAAUAAAAGGAUUGAAAAUGUCUCUGCCCGUUAAGAAAUAUGAGGGUACUGAGUAAGAAAUUUGCUUCUCAAAUAUAGGAAGUAAGAAUUGUGAGGAAUGAAGGAAGGCUGUUCUCCUAAGACAGAAAGGUGGAACAAGGGGGAAACAAAAGGAAACUGCAUCAGAGUGGAGGAAAAAGUCAGGCCAUGAGCCUGGUGGUAGAUAUUAGGAGGAAAUGCAGAAUCCCAGCUACUAGCUCUUGACUGAACUAACAUUGGCUAGGCAGAAGGGUGGCAUCCAUGCUAUAUACUAAAAAAAAAAUGGAGCAGUUUAUAUCCUGUUGCCAAGCUUUUCUUACUCUCAUGUAAAGUGUGAGGCAGAAUAAAAGAUCUGGACAGUUGGUGUGAAAUAGAAUGAUUGGAUCUGAAGUUACCAGUGAGCAUUUUAGAGUCAAAAAGGUCAAGAGGUCCAAGUAGACAGGACUCAAGUCUCACCCAAUCCUCAGUCUGUGCUUCACCUUUUAGUUUAUUCGCUCACUCACUAUGUCACUAGACCUUCGUUGAAUAUCUGUUACGCUCUAAGUAUCGCUAAUAUUGCGUAGAUCUCCGAUUAGUAUCAAAGUAGGAUGAUACUGUUUUAGAUUAAAACCAUCACGCAGGACCAGGGGAGAUGCUUCAGAGGGUAAAAGCACUUGCCAUGCAAGCCUAACAAUCUGGGUUCACACCCCCAGAACAGGCCGGAAAAAGCCAAAUGUGGUGGCAAGCAGCUGCAAUCCAUUCAGUGAGAUAGGAGGUAGGGUCAGGAGAAUUAGCCCAGAGCUCAUGGUCCCCCUAUCCUAGAACAAGCAGCAGGGCCGUGGAAACAAAGGGGACCCUGUCUCAACAGCUGGAAGAUGAGAAGCAACUCCAGAAAAGUUGUCCUUUGAACUCCACACUCUGGCACGUCAUACACGGCCACUCACACAAUUAAUUAAUAAAGUUUUUUUAAACUAAAAAAUAACAUGGAAUAUAGGCAGAAUGUAAAAAGAGAACACUCACAAAACCCUAUUAAAGAGCGUUCAAGGAACUGAUAAUUUAGAGUUACUAAAGGAAGAGCAUUCGUUUAUAAUUUCUAGGUGUGGUGACAUAUUAUUUAUGAUUUAUUAGAGCUUGCCUGAGGGUUUAGAAUGCAAAGCUAGCCACAAGCCAGAGAGGUCAGGCAAUGGUGAUACACUCCUUUAAUCCCAGCAGACAUACUAGCAAGCCAUAGAGGCAGGCAGUGGUGGCACACAGCUUUAAUCCCAGGACUCAGGAGGCAGGCAAAUAAAACUGAGUUGAAGACCACACUGACCUACACAAGAGUGAAGAGUAACAGAGCACACACCUUUAAUCCCAACACUAGGGAGGUACAGACAGGGGUGAUAUGGCUGGGAAGAGAAAGGGAUAAAAGGAGGAGGAGACAGGAACUCGGAUCUUUUGCCUGUGAGGAUUCAUGGAGACAGGAUUUUCAUUUCAGCUGGGCAGAGGUAAGACCUACAGGCUUGACACUUUGCUUCUCUGAACUUCAUCCCGAAGCUUGAACCCCAAUAUCUGUCUAUGGGUUUUUAUUAUUUGUGUUACAUCUAGGUGAUCUGGAUAUGGGAAUGGAUAUGUCUUUAAUCCCAGCACUCAGCAGACAGAGACAGGCAGAGCUCUGUUAGUACAAGGCCCGCUUGGUAUAUAUACAUAGUGAGUUCCAGGACAACCAGGGCUAUGGAGAAAGACACUGUCUCAAAAAAAAAAAAUACAGUAAAAUAAAAUAAUUUCCAGGAAUAAUAGGGUUGAAAGACUGUAAGAGCCAGAAUACCAGGAAAUCAGCUGUGGAUCAGGCCCUCCUAGAAAUGGUCAGGUAAACAUGGCCAGAACAAUGGUAAUAUCUAUAGAUAUAUUAACAUGGGAAGGGAGAAGUUUCAUUCUCUCCCAUCCCUAGAAAAAGAAAUACAGGCAGCUAAUGACUGCCAGGGGAAGGAGAAUGUGCCCCUCCCCGGGAUGAGCACCCUUUUGUGUUGUCUAUUGCAGCGCCAUCAGUCUGGAAACUACACGCAAUCAUAAAAUUGGACUCGGAAGGUUUUAUUUAUAUAUUUGUGCAUAUACAUAUAUGUUUGUGUGUGCAUUACAUAUGUGUGUGUUUGUGUGCGUGUGUGUGUAUAGCAAUACUGAUCAAAGAAAAAGAGUAGUAUGAGAGUAGGGGCAUGGAAGGUAUUGGAGGGAAGAAAGGAGGUAUAAAAUUAUGUAAUUAUAUUUCAACUGAAAAUAUUUUAAAAAAUAAAAUAAAAUGUCUGGGUUAGACAAGGUGCUUGCUCCUCUGCCCUUGGGAGUGACACAGCCUUGAAAUCAGAAACAGAUUUUUGCCUUUGCAAGCUACUUUAAAACAUACUUUUCUAGGUUAGACCUAAGACUAGUAACCUAGACUCCACAAUUAAACUUUCCACUAGACAGAAGUUAUUUGCAUCUCUUUUAGACAAGAAUAAACACCUUAAAUUAAAAUGUAAUGCCACAGAACUGGAGCCUUAACGUAGAGUAUGCUGGAUAGCUAGCUGACAGAGGCAUGCUCAAAGUUCAUAAACUGUGGGUCAAUUGGUUGCCCUAUGUUUUGGGGCUCUAAAAGGACAUGCUAUUUACAUCACUAUUUUUAAUAUGAAGGAACUGGAAAUAGUUUCUCUUGGGUUUUCUGUCACAGCUAAUUUCCCCACAACUCCAGGAAAAUACAUAAAGGACUAGAGAAUUUUAUACUAUGUAUUAAUUUAUACUUAUAAGUUGAUUGGACAUUUAUUUCAUUUCACUCUCAUGCAACUGAACAAAUUAGUUGUUACUAGACAAAGUUUAGAUGUUUGGGCCUGAAAGACAGCUCUGUAGUUAAGAGUACUGGCUGCUCUUCCAGAGGACAAGGGUUCGACUCGCAGCACCCGUAUGUUGACUCACAACUAUUUGUAACUCCAGUUCCAGGGUCUCUGAUGCCCUUUUCUGGCCUCUGCAGGCACCAUACAAACAUACAGGCAAAACACCCAUACACAUAAAAUAAGAAUAGAAUUUCUUUUUUUUUUUUUUGAUUGAGAGUUAAAAACAUUAUUUGCAUGUCUAUUUUUAACCUAUAUUCCUCUUUAUUUGAGCCACAUGGCCACUAAGGAAUUAAGGAAAUCCAGGUGUGUGUGUGUGUGUGUGUGUGUGUGUAUGUGUGUGUGUGUGUGUGUGUGUCCUCAUGUGUGCCAGCGUCCAUAUUCACGUAUGCACUCAUGGGCACCCAUGCCUUUCACUCCCUGGUUAAUACCAUAAUAAUUAUUGAGUAGUGUCUGUAUUCUCGCUCAUCUUUCCAGCCCUGGCAGGAGGGAAACACCUCUCCUUUCACACAACCCCCACUCUGGAGGGCUCCUGACCUUCAGUCGAGUCAGGCCCUAUCGCAGACAUUCCUGCAAUAAAUAAUUGAUUGCACACUAAGAGGGUUCCUUUCCUUUUUGUAUUAAGACGUGCUCCUCUUUCUGCCCUUGAAGACCCCGGAUGUCUGCCCUUCUUUUUUUCCCGAUUCUCUGCCGUGUCUUAUUCUUUCUAGCCCUUUCCUCCCAAUGCUCUUUUAUCCCCGAAUAAGAACUGCAGAGCUUCCCAUGUAAGUGUGAUGGAUAAUCUCGCAUACGCUGCUCAAAGGUUUCAGAUGCCCAAAAGACAGCAGCCUCUCUUGUGAAACCCGAGCCAGGAGCCUUUCAAGUGGACUGUUCCAUCAAAGCCUCUCUCCACCCGCAACAGGUUCAGGAUGGCCCUGGGUGGGACCGGCAGCCUGGCUUGAGCUUGGCCUUCAUUUAGGAUACAUGACUGGAAGGUGUUCCUUAUUGCAAAAUAGCAUCGCUCUACCCAGGAUGAACACAAUCCACAUGGGCCUUCUUGGGUUUUUUGUUUGUUUGUUUGUUUGUUUGUUUGUUUUUCAGAGUGAAUAUCCUUUAAAUAGAAACCUUUUAGAUUGGAUUUAAGGCCUGCAGCACAGGCAGAAAUGUACACCCGGUCUCAGAAACCUGACCAAUCCCCCGUGACAAGAGACGGGGGAGAACCCACUACUGCGGUUUCCCUGAGGCGGCAUGACGUCACCUGUCUUCUAAUCUGAAUGCUUAUCUAUAUACCCAUAAGUCAGUGCAAUCCUCACGCCUCAUUGGAAAAGCCUAUUAUUGCAAUGGACAGUGGUUGACACAGAGACUCACAACCAAUCCGGGAGUGUAAAGGAUAGGUGACUGUAGAGUGGUCAGCUCUCAAAGAACAAGUACAUCACCCCUCCCCCAAGGCUCAGGGAACUGAGAAAGAGGGAGCAGGAAGAUUGUAAGAACCAGAGGCUGGGAAGGACUGGAGCAAAACGGUGUUUUCUGGACGUGGCUGGGCCAUUAUGUCCAUGAAGUUGUCAAAGCAGCGAUGGACUCCUCAACAAGCCAUGCAGAAGAGUAGGGCAGUUAGUAUCCCAGCAUGGAUGGAGAAGGGGAUUCCCAGGCCUCAUCCCAAAGUGAAAGGACUUGACAAUUGAUGGCAUCUGGAGGAUGGAGAUUGAGCUUUCUUCAAGGAUGUGUCCGGAAGGGUGCCGAUGUUUCAGUGGAUGGCCUACACUCGUGUAUACAUUGGCAGCGAUAGCUGGACACAACAGGUUACAAAAGAACCUGCAAAAAAAAAAAAAAAAAAAAAAAAAGAUGAGGAUAUGAAAUUGAGCAGGGAGUUGGGAAGGGGAAUCUGGGAGAAGCCAGAUGAAGGCAUGGGGUGGAGAUGAUCAAAAUACAUUAUACACGUGUGUGAACUUCUCAAAACAACAGGUAAAUAAGAUUAAAGUAACCCGCCAUGCAACUCCACCACUGGUCCAGGUAUGGGAGGUUCCCCGGAUAUUCAACAAUCAAAAAUGUUAAAACAACCAUUUCUUUAGGGCUUAUGUUAACCUGUUUUCAAGUUAUAGUAAAACCCUGGUGUGGAGAACUACAUAAAAGAGGAGAAAGCCUACGAGGAGAAGUUUUGUGUGACUGAGCAAUGGUUAAGCAGUAGACUGCAGCAAUCUUUACCUACUGGAGCAGUGAGGACUAUUCAUAAUCACGUGUUUAAUUCUUCCUACAGUCUUCUGCCUGUGGAUGACAUUACACCUGCGCCAUUGUGAAAGACCCCCGGAAGGCCCAGGCCCCCAGGAUCUCGGUCCAGGACUGUGGUCACCCCAAUCACCAGGCUGAGUCAGAAGCUUGAUGCAAACUGCAUGAGGCUUUAUUAUAGUUGUUUAACGAGCUAACGCUCGAGUCUUUCAUCCACCCGCCAUGGUGGAUGGCUAGAAAAGACUCUGCAAAGCCACAGCAUAGAGAUCUUAUAGGGCAGCAUAAGGGGAGUGUCUAGGGGUACGCACAGGCUCAGGAUUGGUGUGCCUCCAGGCUUGGAGGGUUUGCCCUGGGUUGAUUGGUCAACUGGUUGUUAUGGCCCAUAGGCCCUCCCAGGGCGGUUGCUAUGCUCUGCACGUCAUUGCUGUGCAAUUGUCCGUAAAGCACACCCAGAGCAGUAAAGCCAUAAAGCAUAGCACCACCAGCUAACUUCUGAUUGGUUCCUUGCCACGAGGCAGGCAUCUGACCUCCCUGAUCAGACACACACGUGUUCGGCUGUUAUGGCUGCUGAAAUGGGGAGCUUGUCCCUUCAAUUGCUACUGAAAUUGUCACAGCCCAAAGCCCUAGGAGCCAUAGUGAGCUAGACUGGGCCAUCAGUUAGUCUUCUGUAGGCCAAUAAAAGACAAAAAUCCUGGUGAGAAGCACCGAAAGGAGUUUCAUUCAAUGUUACCACACUAGGAGGAGGAGCAAAGCGUUCUAAGCCUCUCUCCUCCCCCACCCCCUUUGUGAUCCUGAGGGGAGGUUUAACUUUAAAUAGGAAGCAUGAGGAAUGUAUAGUUAAGCAAGGUCAAAAUGUGGUCCCAUCCAUCAUCAUUGCCUGAGCCCCAUUUUUUCUUGCAAGAUGGUCUGAGAAACUGUAAGAAAUGCAUGGAAUCUUCUCUUGAAAGACUGAUAUCCCCUCAAGCUGGCAGCAGCCUUCAGACUUUUCCUUCUCCCAGCAUGAGAUUUCCAGGUAAAUUCCAAGUCCUUUGGAACCAUUGUUUUAAUAUACUCACAACCACAGUGGGGGGGGGCACAAGUUUCUUCUGUAAAAUAUCUUCAUUCUUAUCAAGAUUCUUAUACCAUGAUACUCAAAUGAAAGAAAUCCAGCCAUAGCCCAAGAGAAAAGAGGAGGGAAAGAAGUCCAUGAUUUUUCUCAAUCCCUGAAAGGCUUAAGAACACUCCACUGCCAAACAUUUUCUCCUCCACACACCCCAGAGCAGUGUUUCUGAACCUUCUGAAUGCUGUGACCCUUUAAUACAGUUCUUCAUGCUGUGUGACCUCCAACCACACAAUUGUUUUUUUGUUCCUCCCUCUCUUUGCCUGGAUUCCCAGGGCUCAGCCUUGUUCAUGAUUGUGGAUUUCUACACCUGUCUCCAUCAAUUACUAGCUGAAGGCUCUAUGAAGAUAGUAGGGGUGUUCAUCAAUCUGAUUACAGAGGCAGGCCAGUUCAGGCAUCCUCUCCACUAUUGGUAGUCUUAGCUGGGGUCCUCCUUGUGGAUUCCAUAUAUGAGCAAGUCAGGUCAAGACCAUGAUUGAGAGAUCUACAGAGACAGCCAAACCAAGCUGGUGGACACUCAUGGACACUAGACCUACAGCCGUGGAGACUCCAGGGGAUUGAACUAAGCCCUCCACAUGUGGGAGACAGGUGUGAAGCUUGGAGUAGCUGAGGGGUCCCUGGCAGUAGGACCACAAUAUAAUCCCAGUACAUGAGCUAGCUUGUUGGAGCCCACUCCCUAUGGUGGGACGCUAUGCUCAGUCUUAAUGCAUGGGAGAGGAACUGGGCUCUGCCCCAACCAUUGUGUCAGACUGUGUUGACUCCUCACGGGAACCCUUACCUGUAAGGAGGAGUGGACUGGGGGUAGGCUGGGG
rnacentral:lncRNA from 1 species